GGACCGCUACUAACAAAAAUAUACUUUUUCAAUUAAAAAAAAUAAAAUAAAUUUACUUACAAAAAAAAAGAGCGUUAACGGACGGUCUCCUCGAGCCGUCGCCGAAGACCGGCCAUCAUUGGCGAUGAAUUCCAGCUGCAGAUUUUCCUUCGAACACUGAUAUCAGGUUCUUGGUGAAACUGCAGCAUACUCAACGUACACACAGGGGUUUUUCUUUACCCCAGUGCCUGUAAAAGGAUUUUCAAAUCUUGGAGCCAACCGCGAUCACGAUAACGGUAACGGAAAUCACAGUCGCGGUAACUGUUAAGAUCAGAAAUCUUUACCGUGUGACUGGGAGAUUAUUGAUCCCUUAAUAAUAAAUUCGCGAUAUUGGUCAAUAAAUUUCUGAUCGCAUUCAUUAGUUAAUAGCAAAUUGAUAUCUUGAGAAGAUGGUGAUUGACCUUUUUGUAAUGUUUGGUAUAUGAUGUUCAAAAUUGUUAGGUUUAUCAUUAUGUGGAAGACUAUAAGAAGGUGUUGAAAGCAAAGCAGAAAGCCACAUACAGUUGGAAAAAGGAGAAGAGUGGGAAAUUAAUAAAAAUUUGUGCACCAACUUACCCUUUUUUCCCAUUAGAUUAACUUAAAUCUUUCAUGGCGGUUGUUACAUUUGAUUAUAUUUUGUAUUCUUUGAUAAUUACUAGAUUUUCUUGUAAAUCAAUUACCGGUGUCUCGAAAAAAAAAAUAAUUUAAAAUCAAGUAUUAGUUAAA